UAGGGAAUCUUCCACAAUGGACGCAAGUCUGAUGGAGCAACGCCGCGUGAGUGAAGAAGGUUUUCGGACCGUAAAGCUCUGUUGUUGGUGAAGAAGGAUAGAGGUAGUAACUGGCCUUUAUUUGACGGUAAUCAACCAGAAAGUCACGGCUAACUACGUGCCAGCAGCCGCGGUAAUACGUAGGUGGCAAGCGUUGUCCGGAUUUAUUGGGCGUAAAGCGAGCGCAGGCGGAAGAAUAAGUCUGAUGUGAAAGCCCUCGGCCUAACCGAGGAAUUGCAUCGGAAACUGUUUUCUUGAGUGCAGAAGAGGAGAGUAGAACUCCAUGUGUAGCGGUGGAAUGCGUAGAUAUAUGGAAGAAUACCAGUGGCGAAGGCGGCUCUCUGGUCUGCAACUGACGCUGAGGCUCGAAAGCAUGGGUAGCGAACGGGAUUAGAUACCCUGGUAGUCCAUGCCGUAAACGAUGAGCGCUAAGUGUUGGGAGGCUUCCGCCUCUCAGUGCUGCAGCUAACGCAUUAAGCACUCCGCCUGGGGAGUACGACCGCAAGGUUGAA
rnacentral:rRNA from 1 species